UUAAGCGACUAAGCGUACACGGUGGAUGCCCUGGCAGUCAGAGGCGAUGAAGGACGUGCUAAUCUGCGAAAAGCGUCGGUAAGGUGAUAUGAACCGUUAUAACCGGCGAUGUCCGAAUGGGGAAACCCAGUGCAAUUCGUUGCACUAUCGUUAACUGAAUACAUAGGUUAACGAGGCGAACCGGGGGAACUGAAACAUCUAAGUACCCCGAGGAAAAGAAAUCAACCGAGAUUCCCCCAGUAGCGGCGAGCGAACGGGGAGCAGCCCAGAGUCUGAAUCAGCUUGUGUGUUAGUGGAACGGUCUGGAAAGUCCGACGGUACAGGGUGAUAGUCCCGUACACCAAAAUGCACAGGUUGUGAACUCGAAGAGUAGGGCGGGACACGUGGUAUCCUGUCUGAAUAUGGGGGGACCAUCCUCCAAGGCUAAAUACUCCUGACUGACCGAUAGUGAACCAGUACCGUGAGGGAAAGGCGAAAAGAACCCCGGCGAGGGGAGUGAAAAAGAACCUGAAACCGUGUACGUACAAGCAGUGGGAGCACCUUCGGGUGUGACUGCGUACCUUUUGUAUAAUGGGUCAGCGACUUAUAUUCUGUAGCAAGGUUAACCGUAUAGGGGAGCCGCAGGGAAACCGAGUCUUAACUGGGCGUUAAGUUGCAGGGUAUAGACCCGAAACCCGGUGAUCUAGCCAUGGGCAGGUUGAAGGUUGGGUAACACUAACUGGAGGACCGAACCGACUAAUGUUGAAAAAUUAGCGGAUGACUUGUGGCUGGGGGUGAAAGGCCAAUCAAACCGGGAGAUAGCUGGUUCUCCCCGAAAGCUAUUUAGGUAGCGCCUCGUGAACUCAUCUUCGGGGGUAGAGCACUGUUUCGGCUAGGGGGUCAUCCCGACUUACCAACCCGAUGCAAACUACGAAUACCGAAGAAUGUUAUCACGGGAGACACACGGCGGGUGCUAACGUCCGUCGUGAAGAGGGAAACAACCCAGACCGCCAGCUAAGGUCCCAAAGUCAUGGUUAAGUGGGAAACGAUGUGGGAAGGCACAGACAGCCAGGAUGUUGGCUUAGAAGCAGCCAUCAUUUAAAGAAAGCGUAAUAGCUCACUGGUCGAGUCGGCCUGCGCGGAAGAUGUAACGGGGCUAAACCAUGCACCGAAGCUGCGGCAGCGACACUAUGUGUUGUUGGGUAGGGGAGCGUUCUGUAAGCCUGCGAAGGUGUGCUGUGAGGCAUGCUGGAGGUAUCAGAAGUGCGAAUGCUGACAUAAGUAACGAUAAAGCGGGUGAAAAGCCCGCUCGCCGGAAGACCAAGGGUUCCUGUCCAACGUUAAUCGGGGCAGGGUGAGUCGACCCCUAAGGCGAGGCCGAAAGGCGUAGUCGAUGGGAAACAGGUUAAUAUUCCUGUACUUGGUGUUACUGCGAAGGGGGGACGGAGAAGGCUAUGUUAGCCGGGCGACGGUUGUCCCGGUUUAAGCAUGUAGGCUGGUUGUCCAGGCAAAUCCGGAUAAUCAAGGCUGAGGUGUGAUGACGAGGCACUACGGUGCUGAAGUAACAAAUGCCCUGCUUCCAGGAAAAGCCUCUAAGCAUCAGGUAACAUCAAAUCGUACCCCAAACCGACACAGGUGGUCAGGUAGAGAAUACCAAGGCGCUUGAGAGAACUCGGGUGAAGGAACUAGGCAAAAUGGUGCCGUAACUUCGGGAGAAGGCACGCUGGUGUGUAGGUGAAGCCCCUGCGGGUGGAGCUGAGACCAGUCGAAGAUACCAGCUGGCUGCAACUGUUUAUUAAAAACACAGCACUGUGCAAACACGAAAGUGGACGUAUACGGUGUGACGCCUGCCCGGUGCCGGAAGGUUAAUUGAUGGGGUUAUCCGUAAGGAGAAGCUCUUGAUCGAAGCCCCGGUAAACGGCGGCCGUAACUAUAACGGUCCUAAGGUAGCGAAAUUCCUUGUCGGGUAAGUUCCGACCUGCACGAAUGGCGUAAUGAUGGCCAGGCUGUCUCCACCCGAGACUCAGUGAAAUUGAACUCGCUGUGAAGAUGCAGUGUACCCGCGGCAAGACGGAAAGACCCCGUGAACCUUUACUAUAGCUUGACACUGAACAUUGAGCCUUGAUGUGUAGGAUAGGUGGGAGGCUUUGAAGCGUGGACGCCAGUCUGCGUGGAGCCAACCUUGAAAUACCACCCUUUAAUGUUUGAUGUUCUAACGUUGGCCCCUGACCGGGGUUGCGGACAGUGUCUGGUGGGUAGUUUGACUGGGGCGGUCUCCUCCCAAAGCGUAACGGAGGAGCACGAAGGUUAGCUAAUCCUGGUCGGACAUCAGGAGGUUAGUGCAAUGGCAUAAGCUAGCUUGACUGCGAGCGUGACGGCGCGAGCAGGUGCGAAAGCAGGUCAUAGUGAUCCGGUGGUUCUGAAUGGAAGGGCCAUCGCUCAACGGAUAAAAGGUACUCCGGGGAUAACAGGCUGAUACCGCCCAAGAGUUCAUAUCGACGGCGGUGUUUGGCACCUCGAUGUCGGCUCAUCACAUCCUGGGGCUGAAGUAGGUCCCAAGGGUAUGGCUGUUCGCCAUUUAAAGUGGUACGCGAGCUGGGUUUAGAACGUCGUGAGACAGUUCGGUCCCUAUCUGCCGUGGGCGCUGGAGAAUUGAGGGGGGCUGCUCCUAGUACGAGAGGACCGGAGUGGACGCAUCACUGGUGUUCGGGUUGUCAUGCCAAUGGCACUGCCCGGUAGCUAAAUGCGGAAGAGAUAAGUGCUGAAAGCAUCUAAGCACGAAACUUGCCCCGAGAUGAGUUCUCCCUGAGACUUUAAGUCUCCUGAAGGAACGUUGAAGACGACGACGUUGAUAGGCCGGGUGUGUAAGCGCAGCGAUGCGUUGAGCUAACCGGUACUAAUGAACCGUGAGGCUUAACCUU
rnacentral:rRNA from 2 species